AUUGAACGCUGGCGGCAGGCCUAACACAUGCAAGUCGAGCGGAGUUUUCGGACCUAGCGGCGGACGGGUGAGUAAUGCGUAGGAAGCUACCCGAUAGAGGGGGAUACCAGUUGGAAACGACUGUUAAUACCGCAUAAUGUCUACGGACCAAAGUGUGGGACCUUCGGGCCACAUGCUAUCGGAUGCGCCUACGUGGGAUUAGCUAGUUGGUGAGGUAAUGGCUCACCAAGGCGACGAUCCCUAGCUGGUUUGAGAGGAUGAUCAGCCACACUGGAACUGAGAAACGGCCCAGACUCCUACGGGAGGCAGCAGUGGGGAAUAUUGGACAAUGGGCGCAAGCCUGAUCCAGCCAUGCCGCGUGUGUGAAGAAGGCCUUCGGGUUGUAAAGCACUUUCAGUAGGGAGGAAGCGUUGUGUGUUAAUAGUACACAGCGUUGACGUUACCUACAGAAGAAGCACCGGCUAACUCUGUGCCAGCCGCCGCGGUAAUAC
rnacentral:rRNA from 1 species